GAGGCGUCAUGCGGGGCUGUGUCCCCGCGGCUCCUGUGCCUCCCUGGGCUGGCGAGGGCUGGGGGGCUCGGCAGCAGCCUGCCUGGUUCCUCCGGCUGUCCGCCCAAAAUCCCGCUGAGGAACCAGGGGUUGAUGAAGGGUAUGGUUCACCAGGCCGAACUCUAGUCUCCCAACGCCAUGGGAGGAAGACAAGUCUUUCUCCUCAUCCAUUUCCCGGUGCUUCAGGACCGCGCCUGGUGAGGUGUGAGGUGUUCGGGGAAGGACAUGCCCCAAGCUCAUUGGGUCACUGCUUCCAUUGCAUGACUGAACCAUCAGAAGGCCUCCUUCAAGCCUAGCACUCGUCCUCAGUGUGUUCAAAGUGAAGGUUUCCCCAGUUUGUAGCGGUUUUAGGCCUUUACUGGAGAUACAUGUUAAAAAAUCUGCCAAUAUACUUAAGGGCUUCUUAAUCAUUUCAACUCUGCUGUGGAUUACAAGUUUUCAGCCUCUUCUCACCUGACUGUUUGGAUAGCAGCAGUAAUGUCUGAUGCUGCUUUUCCACACUGAUCCACAUAAUCCAGGAGUUCCAGCAUAAGCAAGAGUGUGUGCACUUGCCUAAAAGCGUCUGAACAAACUGACCAAGGAGUACUAUAAUACAACUCCCAUUCAAAGCAGGCAUUUGCCCGUCUGACGCCUCUGAAGUAUUGAAGAUAAAUCACAGGAUCACCUCAUCCCUCUCUAGGUUGAAUAAGUUCAGUUCUUUCAGUAGUUUAAAGAGUACUGAUUGUGAUCACUGCUAUCCUCAUCACUCCCAAAGUCCAGUUCUAAAAGAAGAAAUAGAGGACACAACACUUCCAGCCUCAUCAACACUCAUUCAUCAACAUUCAUCAACAUUUUCUUACAGAUGACACUUCUGUUCCUACCUGUCUGUUUAUUUGCUCUUUCUUCAGAAGAAGGAUGCUGUUGGCUGAAGAUCUGCCUGUGAUCUUCUGUAAGCCACAGAUCAUGUUGUCAGCUCCUCUUUAUCCUGAUUGUUCAAUUGAUUAUUUCUGCUUAACACUACAACAUUGCACUUUCCCUAUUGAUACACCAUUUCUCUAUUUUGUCUAUUUUCAAUUUUAAUUCUGUUUUCUAAUGUGCUUGUAAUCUUUCAUAGCUUCACACCAUUUGGAAAUCCAAUAAGCAUCUUAUGUUUUAUCGGAUUGCUGAGUGCUAACAGACAAAACAGAUUCUUUGCAACUCCACUCAAGACAUUUUUCCUUCUUAACAGUGAACCACUGUUAACUGCUUUCUGCCUGCACAGUGAUAACUUCAAAAACCCAAAUAAAACAAACUAUUAUUUUCCAUAAACAGUGUUCCUCAUGCAAGAUUUAAUUUCCUCCAGAAACAACUUUUAUUUGACAUCAGUAGUUGCAGAAGAUUUGGUACUGAUUUGGAGCAAAGGACAGCACUGUGUUCUCGAGCUGAGCUGUACUGGACUGAAGAAUGUGUAUUGAAUCAGGUGUACUAUGUAGUGCAGACAGAAUGCCAACAGGAUUUCAACAGUAUUCAUGGAGUACCUCUGUGAGUAAUUUUGGUCAUCCCAGAGCUGCAGAGGAAAGCCAGUGAAACUGUGUAAUUAUAUCAGUGGUGGAUUGAGCUAAUAUUAUUUGCCUCUCAAUAGGCAUCUUAUCUUGGAGUCAAGCUAGGAUUCUUGGCUGCCAACAUGAACUGUGUCUGGAAAUGUAGGAGGAAUGGUCUGCACUUGUUUUGCUGGUGUACCCUGAGUAUCCUACAUAAAUAAACUUUGUGCUUUCUGUAGACAUUUCCAUUCUGCCUGUGGGAGGUUGCUGUAAAGGGCCUGAGCUUGUAUCGAAUUGCAAUGUGUGGUACACAAACCUGUGUGGCUCCAGCAACAGUCUCUCCUCCAGGCGUAUUUCUUUGAUCAAGUAAUAAUUGUGGUUCUUAACAAGAGAUGGUGCAAGUGUUAUAUGUGUGUAAUCUGAUAACAAUCUCAGCUAACAUGUAACAAGUGUAGGUCUGUUCUAAAAAUGAAAAGCACAGUAGCAUAAGUAAACUAUGGGACUGCUGAAGAAAAAACAUGAUCAUUUAUUUGCCAUUAACUAAUAAUGGCACAAAAUUCAUGAUAUUAAACAAUAUUUAUUAAGGUAUAUAUUAAGAAUUAAUAUGUCACUUCAAGUCCCCAUCUGUACAAUCCUUAAAUUCAGUCCUUUAGUCAUCCUUUGAGGUUGUUCCAAGCAAGCGUUUGAACGUCUUUCAGCUGAGGAUAGACUUGAAUCACACUCUUCACUUACAAGUAGAGCAUUGUGGCCAGUAGGCUGUUAAAAAAGUACUGUGUGCCUUUACUUUUUAAUAGGAGGUGUCCUCAACAUGUUCCUGUGAGGGACAAAUAUGUGCAACAUGCAAUAAUCAUAAAUAAUCAUACCCUGAGAAAUGGACCUCCUGGGCAUUCCUCCACCUAGCUUUUGACCUCGGAAUUGUUUUUGCAGGCUAUAUGCACCUCACACUGAAUUCUGUGUGUGAAGUCUAAGUGCUCUAGAAAUUUGAAUGAAGAGAUGCCAAUUGAACUCAGACUUCCAGGAUAUCUAGAGCUUUAUCCAAGUUUGUUCUGCAUCUGAACUGGCAAAGAACUGAUCCUGAGGGUUCUAGUAACUUCACCUUUGGAAAAAUGUUCCUUUUGGAAACCUGAAAAUAAUAAUUUGCUUAGAAAUUCCAAGACAAAGUCAAGUGAAAGUCAUGAGUAAAAGGGAAGAGAGAAGAAAGAAAUCUUGUGGUAAGGUCUCCUGGGAAAGACUUGUUCCAGCCACUGAAAGCAAACACUGUUUUAAUGUGUAAUGACACGUUUCCUUUCCUUUGGUCUGGCUUCCCACUAGUAAAAGUUUCAGUGCAGCUGAGUGGUAAGGAAAAGAAACUGAUUUUCUCAGAGCAAUGUUUCUUGGCUUUUUGUUUUAGUUUCAUACUAGACGUGCACAGAAGUACACAAGUAGGAUCUCACCAGUGCCACAGAAAUGGAAAUAUCUUCUAUCCACCUGCUUUUCCAGUGAUCUCAAAGUCUUCUACUGCUGAAGACAGAAGAAUUUUCCCAUUUUCUGAAUGCAGAGAUAGCCAAACCUAAAAUACGUGAAUCAGAAAAUAGUAUUUGAAACAACAUAAAGCUCCCACAUGUCUUGGUCCUGGUUCUGCUCUGUGCACAUAUUUUCUACUGUUUGUUCUGUUAGAGCUGCCAAAGGGCUAAAUCCAACACUCCACCCCCAAAGCACACAGCACGACCAAUGCUUCAUCUCAGAACUGUGUGUGUGCUUCUCUUUCCCCACUUCAACACCUUUAAACUCAUUGCAGGCACAACUAGAACUACCUAACCAUACAGCAGUGAUGAACACUAAUGUUUAUCCAUAAUGAGAAAUAUUAGUGCACUAAUAUGGAAAAGGACAAGCAUUGCAGGAAAAACUGUUAAACUUGACAAACCACAAUAGUAAGGUUGACUCUCUUCUCAGAGAGCUGGGAAGAUGCCAGGGAGAAAUGCUAAAAAAGCACUAGGUUCUUUGAUCAGGUAUUCCACCUGAGAGCAGCUAAGGACUUUUACACAAAUGGUGUAUGCAUCCAGGUAUAUCAGAGGUCAAGAGGUACUUGGCAUUGUCAAGACUGCAGCUUCAGCUGUGAGUGCUAUCAGAUGUCUGUGCAAAGUCCCAAUAGGAGGUGUGUGGCCUCACUGUACCACAUCCUACUUAAAUAUAUUGAGAAGAUGAUUAAGAAGCUCAUGAUGAAAUGCAAAAGACAAUUAAAACAAACAAAAUAGCAGGCUGGGAAGGAGGGAUCAGCAACAAAAGUUUAAAAGUUUUAAAUGUUGAAGUACUUGACAAGGAAAUCCUUUGAAACUGAUUAAUAAAUGUAAUGUAAUCUAUUUUCUCCCUAUUUUUCUCAGGAAUGGAUUGUUUGUUUGUUUGUUUUGGUUUGUUUUUUUGCCAAAACUGGAAGCAAACCAGAAUAACAUAGCAACAUUCCUUGAAUGGUUAACAUUUGGGGAAAAAAAAAAAAAAAAAAGUGAAGGUGUGCAAUGAUGUUAUUGUAACAACUUAAUAUUGCCAGUUGCCUUGUUUAUGGUAAAUUUCAUUUAAUUCUUCAUUCCACAGAGAAGAGGCAGUAAUUAAGUAAUUGAUUUCUGGUUCUUAGAAAAUUUGAUACUUUUAUCUUGAAGGUUAUUCAUUGGUCAUGUGAAAAUUAAGCUUUGGAUGUGGUAUGACCUUUGCAUUUCUUAUAACAGCCAGGUAAUCCAAAGUUAUUAAUAAUGUAGUAUUUGGAAAUGCUGUUCUAGUUCUGGACUGACAAGUGGCAUGCACUCUGUUAUCAGUUGGCUCUCUCCUGCAUACCUUCUUAGGCAAGUAAAUAGCUGGCACACUUUGAGACCUCUGGUUAAGAUAAUCUGGGGACAAGUAUGAGGGAACUGGAGGUGUUGGAGAUAGACAGACACAAUAUCUAGCAAAUACUUGCCUACGCUAUUUGUGGCCCUAAGUUUUGCUUUAUAAUGAUAAUAAUAAUAAUAAUAAUUAUUAUUAUUAAGCAAAAUAUUAGCCCUGUUAAGAAUUUUAGAUAAGAAGUUAAAGGAAAAAUUUAAGUGCAAUUUCUUUUGCAGCUGAUAAUUCUAAAACCUAAACCAUCUCCUCUAACAGUGUGACUCAGAGAAAGGAGAGGAGAGAAAGUAAGCCAAAGAGAUAGUGACAUUUGCUGCUAGACACUUAGAAAGCAGAAGAACUGGAUCUUGGUAGGUGCUCCAGUGAAUGGCCUUCUUCUGUAAAAUACAAAAGACCAAGAGUGUAAGUCACCAAAAUGUUUUUAAAAUCUAACCCAGGUUCCUUCCAUUUGCACUAUACUGUGCAAAAUCAAAGCUAUCCACUGCUAUGAAGGACACAACUGUCUGUCCUUCAACUAGAGAAGUACAUGUGGUUUUUAUACAAUAAAUUUGUUCAGAGCUGAGCUUAGCAUCAUGGCCUCUCUCCUGCUCCACAUACCAGAUACAUCUGGUUGACCUUGUCAGUGCUUUCUUAAUCACUGAUACCUCUACAUGUGGUCCUUAGUGAGAUAAUGGUUAUAAUAAGGUGUUGCAGCCAGGACAGAAAGAGGGAAGAUGUCGGUAGCCCAUAGCAGCUUUGACAUAAACGAUCCCUGCCAGGGGCACACUCCAGAACAGCAUGCAGUCCCUGUCCCACUGUGUCACAUGUUGGCCCCUGUUUUUAAAGAAAACACUCCCCUUCGUGUUUCCUAGCAUGCAUCUAUCUGUCAAUAUCAAACAGAAAGUCACCUGUGAAGUCUGCAUUCGUCAUACAGUGAACAGCUAGUUUUCUAAAAUGUUGACUCAUUCCUUUCUUCUCUCAGACAUAGCAGUAGAUCUACAACUUGCAGUAAGACCAGUGUCUGACUUUGUGAUGUCAAUUGUACAUUAGUUUUAGUUCCUAUAUUAGAUAUAAGCUUCAAGUGCCAUGUUACCCACAGGUUUUAUUUGUGACUCCCGAAGCCUGAAUGUGAUACGACUAAAGAAGUACAGCUAAUGAAUGAAAAAUGAAUACCUCAACUUGUUCUGCUACAGGUUUUAAACCCAAAUCAGUAAGAUUAUUCUAAAAUGAUGGAAAUAUAUCACUACGGAUAGAUCUCAUGUCUUUUUUGCUGUUGUUGUUGUUAAAGUGACUUUUUAAAAAUAACUGAGGUGAAAAUAAAGCUAGAUUAUCUCU